rnacentral:rRNA from 1 species
AUGAGAGAUGUGAACAAGUACUUUUCUCUAUUCUUCCUACUAACAAGUAGUUUCAUUCAAUGUGCUUACAUGAGAUGUGAACCCACAAAUUCAGUGAGCUGGGAACUCAAAAUUCCAAUGAGGUGCGAGAUGCAGCAAAUUAUACUCAUCGUAUGCCUCGUUAUUAUUGUUGUUGUGUCGUUUUAUUCCCAGUCGACGGCCGCUGCGGUGCCCACGUCCGCGUCAUUAGUGCUGCUAAGGGGCACUUCACCCUAUUCGGCAUUAUCUUCUAUUCUUCCUACGGCUGCAAGAACCCUCACCUUGGCUAUGGCAGAUGCGACAGAUAAAGCAGGAGUCCAAUCAAGACAACUUGCAACUUUGGUGUUGUCACAUUGGAGUCCGUGCUGA